UACGUAGGGUGCAAGCGUUGUCCGGAAUUAUUGGGCGUAAAGAGCUCGUAGGCGGUUCGUCGCGUCGGCUGUGAAAACCCGGAGCUCAACUCCGGGCCUGCAGUCGAUACGGGCGGACUCGAGUUCGGCAGGGGAGACUGGAAUUCCUGGUGUAGCGGUGAAAUGCGCAGAUAUCAGGAGGAACACCGGUGGCGAAGGCGGGUCUCUGGGCCGAUACUGACGCUGAGGUGCGAAAGCGUGGGGAGCAAACAGG
rnacentral:rRNA from 1 species